rnacentral:rRNA from 2 species
GUUGAAUGACGUGCUUGCACUGAUUUCAACAAUGAAGCGAGUGGCGAACUGGUGAGUAACACGUGGGAAAUCUGCCCAGAAGCAGGGGAUAACACUUGGAAACAGGUGCUAAUACCGUAUAACAACAAAAUCCGCAUGGAUUUUGUUUGAAAGGUGGCUUCGGCUAUCACUUCUGGAUGAUCCCGCGGCGUAUUAGUUAGUUGGUGAGGUAAAGGCCCACCAAGACGAUGAUACGUAGCCGACCUGAGAGGGUAAUCGGCCACAUUGGGACUGAGACACGGCCCAAACUCCUACGGGAGGCAGCAGUAGGGAAUCUUCCACAAUGGACGAAAGUCUGAUGGAGCAAUGCCGCGUGAGUGAAGAAGGGUUUCGGCUCGUAAAACUCUGUUGUUAAAGAAGAACACCUUUGAGAGUAACUGUUCAAGGGUUGACGGUAUUUAACCAGAAAGCCACGGCUAACUACGUGCCAGCAGCCGCGGUAA